CUCUGGUGUGUAGGAGGCAGGGGAGAAGGUUGCUGUGGGGCCUGGUGCUGGCCUUGGAGAGAAACUGGAAAUGGGCAUCUAUCUCUGUCUGAGGGAAAGCUAUCAGAGGGGUAGAACCCAGUGGCCCCUCCCUGCUAAUGCUGCAUCCAGUCCAGGCCCAAGGCACCCAGAAGCUCUGGGCUAACCCUGAUCUGCACUGUGACAUAGAUGACAGGUAAGGGGGCAGCCAGGUUCCUCAUUGCUCUGUGAUGGUCCCACGUGUCAUCCCUAAGGCUUGGGGUCUGGACUACAUGUUGGGCCACUCUGGCCACCACCACUCAGGAUGCAGUAGGACCUGGAUUCCAGGUCUGGAAGCAGACCCACACCCCUAGGAGGACCCCCUGCAACUAGGCCCCCAGCCUGACUGUCAUUCUGGCAACCCCAAAAACAACCCACUAGAGAAGCACUAGGUCACUGGCCCCUACUUCCAAGCUCAGGUGGGUCUUGGAAAAUUCCCACAGUGAGCUAGCUCCCAAGGCCAGGCUGUGCUUCUGAGGGGACACUACUCAGGGCAGAGGUCAGGUGUGCCUCUCCUCAGAGAACCUCAUCAUCUCUUGUCUAUUAGCUAUACAGAGUCCCUGGGGAGCAACCUGGAUGACCUUGCUCAGACUGGAUCUUCCACUUUCCCUCCUUGUCUAUUCUCUCUGACAUUUCUUCCCCUACCCUCCUGACUGUUCCCCUUCCUCCUCCUCCUCCUCCCCCUCCCCCUCCUCUGCCAGCUCCUCCCCCUGCCCACACUUCCUCUGUCUCUCCCUGAGUGAGUCAGCAGGGAGCUAGCUGACAGCCCAUUGCAAUCCCUCUGUCUAGCCACCCUUCUCUUCUAGAAUGUUCCAUGCAUGAGGCCUCCUCUGCACUCAGUCAGGCGUGGACCCUGACUACCUUUCCCCUGAGCCUGCUUUAUCUACAGAGGUAGACCAAGCUCUUUCUUACCCUUGGCCUGUCUUCUACUGCUGCUGGUUGCAAGGGUGAUUGGGCCUUACCUAAGUGAGAAGGAGGGUCCUUCUUCCCAUGGGCCGUGGACAUAUCAGGGGGCUGUGUUGGGAAGGGCUUGAUGCUCAUAAGUGGUGGGGGGCAGGGGGAAGGAGGCUAGGAUGCCAUAGUCAAAGCCCAGAUUUACUACGAGCUCAUCAAUUAGUGGCUCCCACCUUGGGCCCCUCCAGAGAAGUUUCUAGAAUCCCAUGCCUCUUUUGCAGAGUGCAGCCCACAACUGUAGCCCACAACUGAGGCUGUAGUCCCUCACACUAGGCCUUAACCCCACCCUACUGUAUUGUACCCAAAAGGUCCAGCCUUAAGAAGGCUGCAGCCUAUGCCUUAAAGUCAAUCCCUGGUGUAAUGUCUCCAGUCGACUCUAAGACGCCAUGACCAGCCUCUAUCCCUCAGCCUUCAUGAGAUCACCCAGGUUUCUGGGAUAUGGACAGAGCCUGGAGUGGCUGUGCUUACUCAGCUAAAGCAUUGUGUCCAGGAGUUGACAGCCAGUGGGGGAGGGACGUUUCAGGUCCCUUUGACUACUCUCCCUCAGCCAAGGGUAUUUGAGGUAGAGAGGACGUGAACAACAAACAGCCUUCUUUGCUCCUGCUGCAAUGCUGGCAAUGGAGGGGGUCUAGGGGGUGUAGGACGAGUCUCUAUACAGCAAUAUGGAUAAAGGAUUAGCCAAGAGAGGGACAGGAGUCAAGGAACAAAUGGGGUGUGAGGAGUUAGGGGACCUUGAGCCUGGGAGCUGUGACAGGGCCAGGCCUCUCUUGCCUCUUGGGGGAUAACCAGGCCUAACCACUCAGCUCAGCUCAGGGACUUCAAGGCUUCCGAGUUCUACCACUGACUCGGGCUGGGCUCCUAACAGCUCAUAAAUAUUCAUUUAAAAAUUAAAGCUCCAUUAAAGGGCUAACUGGCUGCUGAUACUCACCAAUUUUUUUUUUGUGCAAAAAAAGAUUUAGCAGCAGAGGAUGAAAUCCAAGAAGCAAUUCAUCGGCAGUGAAGAAACAUGGGUUCCCUCACAGACCCAGCAGUAUCUGGGACCAGAGCACACAAGCAGCCUUUUGUGUUGCCAGGUAGCUGGCUGAGAUCCUGGUCUCAUGCCUGAAGGUAAACUGUGAUCUAUUGAUUCUGGUGCUGGCAAUCUUAGGCCCUGAGUGCCCAAGACUCUCAGAUGAGAAUGGUAAACCCAGAGGCAUACAGAUCAAAUGCUAAGAGCUGAGGACCUUUGCUCUAAGCUUUAGAAGCCAGAGCUCUGUGGCUCUACGUUCUCAAGCCAGAGUCUCAUCAUUCUGGGCUUUAAGCACUAGCUAUCCUGCACUUGGCAGCCGUUGUCCUUCUAGGCUUUGAAUGUGUUUAGCCUGGGGAGUGGAAUGUGAUGGUUCAAAUAUGCUUGGCCCAGGGAGUGGCACUAUUAGGAGGUGUGUCCUUGUUGGCGUAGGUGUGUCAUUGUGGGCUUGGGCUUUAAGACCCUCAUCCUCGCUGCCUGGAAGUGAGUCUUCUCCUGUCUGCCAUCUGCCUUUGGGUGAAGAUGUAGAACCCUCCGCUCCUCCAGCCCCACAUCUGCCUGGACACUGCCAUGUUCCCAUCUUGAUGAUAAUGGACUGAACCUCUGAGCCUGUAAGCCAGCACCAGUCAAUUGUCCUUUUUAAGAGUUGCCUUGGUCAUGGUGUCUGUUCACAGUAGUAAAACCCUAACCAGGACAGCUUCCAUAACCAGAGAGCAGUAUCUGGAGGUAGCGUUUGCUAGUGUUGCAGCUCCUGGCCUGGUCUCUGGUGUUAAGUCGCUCUUUUCUUACAGUGACUUGUGGUCUGGGGCAUCUUUACCCAUGGCUUGUCCCUUCCAGGCUUUGAAGCCUUUGUCAUUUCCACCACUUCUACUCUUUACCCUGGGCCACUCUUCAGCCUUCUUGCUUCUUCUAUUGCCGUGCAACUGCCACCUCCCCCAUUCCUGCCGUCUCUGCUUUGUCACCUGCUCAGCCUGUUCUACUAGUGACAAUGAUUGAAAGUGGACAAGAAAAGACCACUUUAGAGAACCUUUCAAAGGAUCUAAUGUUGCAAUACAGGGGGCAGCAGAGAACGAUGCCUUUGUGCUGGCUGGGGCAGUAAGCUGAACAGCUUGCUUACCUAGUCAGAAAGGGGUGCAGUGAUGUUAUGCAAAUUAAAUAUUAUGUUUGCCCCACUUGCAGUCCUACUGCUGGGCCACAAGGAAAAUGGUUUCUAGAGUUCACUGAGGCUUGUGAUAAGCAAACGUCUAGAACAAGCUCUUUGGGGCAGUUUUGACCAGAAUACUACCUUCUUGAACUGGUGUGGUACUUUGGCGACAAGCAGCCGUGGUUGCAGUACAACUUCCUUGGGUAUCUGUGAAGCAUUCAGGGCAUCUAGUGAGAGCUGUCUCCACGGCUGCCAAAGAGCGCCUGCUUGUCUGACUUGUUUUCAGCUCAAGGCAGCCAGGUCCUAGGACAGAGGCUAACGGCUUUUGGUUAUGGUUUUAACACCACUAAAGUCCCUAUAUCUUAGCUUUAAAGAAAAAAAUUAAACAUUAAAAGGGGUGCUUGAGUGCUGUGUCUGUAACUCAGUAGAGCAAUGACCUAAUAUGCACAAAGCUCUGGGUUAGGUCCCUAGCACUACACAAAAUAAUUGUAUUUUGUGUAAUUGGGUGUAAUUGGGUGUAAAAUAUGGUGGCUCAUGCCUAUAGAACUAUCAAUGAGAAGUAAAGGUAGCUGUAUUGAGAGUUCAAGGAUAUCCUCUGACACACAGAGAGUUCAGGGCCAGCCUGAGCUAUGUGAGACACUAUCUCAAACAAAAC
rnacentral:lncRNA from 1 species